rnacentral:lncRNA from 1 species
CGACUCACAGUGGGCCGGCUGUCUCCCUGUGGGUGGCACCGCCUCCUGGAUGUCCCCGUAGUCGGCUUCGAAGUCUAUGGGGAGGAGCACAGCACUGCCCGUGACGUGCACAGGCCUCCCGAGGCGCCCACGGCCGCCCAGGACCUCGUGCAGGGUCCACCCACGGCUCGGCAGCGUCACCCCAUUGCUGGGGCCGUGGAGGGGCAGGCGGCUGGGUGCCUGGCUCCCCGGGAUGAGCCGCCGUGGGUACAGGGCCGAAGCCAAGCUCUCGCUCCCCCCAGGCUCCCCUGUCCCUUCAGAGAGCCUCGUGCCCCUUCCCCUCAGCAGGACGGAGGUAGAUACAUCCCCGCGGCUGUCCUGUCCCGGGGGCUGGGGGUGCAGAGGCCCCCCACCCGCUGGCCUGAGGCCCGGGGCCCCUGGGGCGGGGACAUCUGCCAGGCUGCUGCCCAAGGAAGGUGCACGUCGGUGACAUCACGAGGGGACGGUGCUCCCCGACAAAGGGUCCCCUCUCCACUUGGGAGGCACAGAAAUGGUUCGGGUGCAGCCUGGAAACUGGGGGGAAAGGGAAGGGCCGGGGCACCGGGACGGAGUGGGGGACAGGACGGCCCUGAGCCCGACACGGCCUCGCUGGGGAGAAGGGACCUGAGCACGAGCGUCCUGCAAGCUCAGCACUUACCAGAGGGGGACGGCGACGGGCUCCAGGGCGACCAAGUCCCAGGGGACCCCGCGAACCGGCGAGCCAGUCCAGGGAACGCGGCGUCGCCCGCAUCAGGAAGCGGGUGCGUGUCGACGGGCCCCAAGGAUAGUGUCCCCGGGAGUGACGGUCCCGGCUGCACCCGGGGCUGUGGUGACUGCUUCUGUGAGGACGCCGCACCCGUCCCACGGGGCUCCGGGCAGCUCGCCGCCGUGGACGGUGCGCUGGACGGCAGCUGCAUGGAAUCGGCCCCCAGGCCGGCAGCGCCCAGCAGCCCCACCGCCCUGCAAAAGGGACCUGGACCAGACGGGCACCAGGGUCAGACGUUGGGGUAG